UCUUAAGAACAUGGAUUAUGGAAGAGAAAAUAAGGAAAAGCUUUGCCACUAGAGUCCUGGAGUCUGUUUAAAACAUCUGGCCAAGGAGGCACCUGAUUGUUUUAACACCAAAGAAAUCCCUCACCUCCUGGCACAUGCAGCAUCUGGGUGGAACAAAGUGCAGAAAUUGGACUGAGAGAAAAUGAUAAAAACGAGACUUGGGUGCUAUCAUUACCAGAUGGCAAGGGGCAAGAACCUGGUCUAGUAUAUACAAAAAUGCAAUUGUAUGUAUAUGACAUAAAUGUGGAAGUAAGACAGUCUUGAGAGACAAAGGUCAGCAACAAGAAAGUAAAUUCUGGAAAAGGGAGGAUGGAGAAGCAUAAGAAGAAGAAUAU